ensembl:lncRNA
GUUUCAAUUAAUAUUUGACCACAUUUAAGAGAAUGCCUCCAUUUUGAAUCUUUAACAUCACAGAAUGAUGUUGUGAAGCAGUAAUUUUACUUUGGUUUUGGGAUAAUAACACCUGUUGGAUUUGUGUUGUACAGUAAAAUCUAAUUAUAGUCAGGCUUACUUAAAAAAAAAAACAAUGCUUAGUUAGUAUAGUUUGUAUAGUACACUUGUAACUAAAAAAGAACUGUAGGGAGUACUUGAUAAUUUACUUUAUUUUUAAUCUUGCCUUAUAUAGCUACUCAGAAUGAUUAACUCCCAGAGUGCAUUGAGGCAUUAAUAAAUUAUGUAAUUGUUUACUGUUUUUUUUUUUUUUGUCAAUUUUAUUUGCUGUCUUGUGUAAGUAGUAGCACAACAAAAGAGCAAAUGAAAUAGUUAUUGUUACAAUUUCUAAUAAUAAAACGGAAUUGUUACAAUUGUUGUGUUUUGCGUGCUGAAUGUUGAAGUUUGACUCAAGCAUGGUCUAUUGCAAGAUAUUGCCACAAAUAUUAAAAACAAAGUAUUCACAAAGUAUUUAUGAAUAACAAUUGAAUUGCAAAAUAUUAUUAAUCAACAUGACAAAUGCAAUAGCGAAUUAUUUAAUUAGAAGUUAAGUCACCUAUUAACAGCAACUUAUAUAUUAUGUCCCUUUCUUUGAAAGCAAAUAACUGUGAUUUCUUGUUGCAUCAAUAGGAAGAGAAGUAUAACAAUUCAAAUGAAGUUCCACAAUUCAACAUUCAAGAUGACUUUGGGAAACAAGUGAAUGCAACUAAAGAGAGAAAUGCAGACGUGGAGGAAAUGAGUACAAAGUCUAUUAAGAAUCGCCCCACCUCAAAAACUAUUUCCUUCUCUUCUUCUUCUGUUGUUUUGUUGCACAUUGGCAAUAUAUUAGUGCACUGCUGCCUCUCACUGGUGGUUAAGACAGCUGACUCCACUGUGUGACCCUGUCUCUCUCUCUCUCAAUAGUAUGUUCCUGCACAACCGGAGGCUGCAGUUUCAGGACCGCAGAUCUAGGACCGCAGUUCUAGGACCCUAGACAUGCAAAACUCCGCAUUUCAACAGUCAACAGCAAAUACUGAAACUUAAAACAAAACAUACUUACAGUAGGUUACUCAGAAGCGCCAGAUUGUUGUAGCAAAGUCAGAAUGACCUCCUCUCCUAGGUUCACGAAACGGUCAUCCAUAAAAUGCGUUGCUGUUCUGUUGUAAGUAAUAUUAAAGAUUCCUAAAUGCAUCUACUUUUGGAAGGCCAAAUAAAGUGCUUUUGCCUUCG